UACGGGGGGGGCAAGCGUUGUUCGGAAUUACUGGGCGUAAAGCGCGUGUAGGCGGCUUGGCAAGUCGGGUGUGAAAGCCCCGGGCUCAACCUGGGAAGUGCACUCGAAACUGCUUGGCUUGAGUACUGGAGAGGGAAGCGGAAUUCUCGGUGUAGAGGUGAAAUUCGUAGAUAUCGAGAGGAACACCGGUGGCGAAGGCGGCUUCCUGGACAGUCACUGACGCUGAGACGCGAAAGCGUGGGGAGCAAACAGG
rnacentral:rRNA from 1 species